rnacentral:rRNA from 1 species
GGAGUUUGGACCGUGUCUCAGUUCCAAUGUGGCCGUUCACCCUCUCAGGCCGGCUACUGAUCGUCGCCUUGGUGGGCCGUUACCUCACCAACUAGCUAAUCAGACGCGGGUCCAUCUUACACCACCGGAGUUUUUCACACCGUACCAUGCGGUACUGUGCGCUUAUGCGGUAUUAGCAGUCAUUUCUAACUGUUAUCCCCCUGUGUAAGGUAGGUUACCCACGCGUUACUCACCCGUCCGCCACUAAACAUUUCAGUUGAUUCAAUCCGUAGCAAGCUACUUCAAUCAUCGGGUGAAAUGUUCCGUUCGACUUGCAUGUGUUAAGCACGCCGCCAGCGUUUAUCCAGAGCCAUGAUCAAACUCU